rnacentral:tRNA from 1 species
GGUGGCUCAGUAGUUAAGUGCUCGGCUGCUAACCGAAAGGUCGGUGGUUUGAACCCACCAGCCACUC